AUGCUCACUUCAGCAGCACAUACACUAAAACUGGAAUCACAGAGAAGAUUUGCAUGGCCACUGCACAAGAAUGACACAGACUCAUGAAGCAUUCCCUAUUUUA